GAAGAAGUCCAGGAGGCCUUUGAGUGAAGGACCUUGAAGCCCACUGCCUUUUUUUCCCCGUCGCUGCUCCUCCACACGGCGGCGUGCAGGUACAGUACGGCACGCGCUCGCGGCGGCCGGCCGGCGGGCGGGCCCCCUCGCGCUCUCGGCCUCCCAAGGACACUAGCCGGCGGCGGCAGGCGGCCAGAGGGGCGCUGUAACGGUGGGCGGGCCCGGUGCGUCGGUGGGCUGGUGGCGGCGAGCAGGGGACGCCGGAAGGAACUUCAGAGAUCGACAGAUUACUGGUGCAGUGAUCAAUUGUUGGUUGGUCAGGCAAGAUUAGCUAGUAAGUGCGAAUUCUUGUUGGAGAUGGCAAACGAACACGAGAGAGACAAGCAAAUCGGAGAAGAGGAAGAGGAGGAAGAAGAAGAGUAUGUCUUGCUAGAGUUGGAUGGUUGUAUGUAUUCCAACAUUCAACCAGAUGCCCCUUAUAUACUCUCUAUGCUUCACCAAAACCAGUUCAUGAUCAUAGUGCACCUCCCAAAGUAAAUAAGGACAAGAUAGGCAGCACCAAUAAGGAAGGACCAUCCAAGGAGGUGAAACAUCUCGCAAGAGUUCAAAAGAUUGUCAAAUUCCGGUCGAUCAAUGAGGAUCAUCACGAGCAGAGCAUAUCAGCAUAAGGAUAAGGAGUUUUGCUUUAACCCUUCAAAUAGAAUGUAAGGAUGAUACUUCCUAAUUUUAAUUGUCCACUAGCAUUCUCUAUUUUGAGGUAAGUUGCAAUAUGCAAGUCUGGUGGUUCUUAUCAUCUCUUUCUGAAUUUUCAAUCUUCUGAAAAUCUGCAUAGUGGAUGUCUUGGCUCUGUGUGAACUCAUCGAACAAUAUCUAAAACCUGAGAAACACC